rnacentral:rRNA from 1 species
ACUCCUACGGGAGGCAGCAGUAGGGAAUCUUCCACAAUGGGCGCAAGCCUGAUGGAGCAACACCGCGUGAGUGAAGAAGGGUUUCGGCUCGUAAAGCUCUGUUGUUAAAGAAGAACACGUAUGAGAGUAACUGUUCAUACGUUGACGGUAUUUAACCAGAAAGUCACGGCUAACUACGUGCCAGCAGCCGCGGUAAUACGUAGGUGGCAAGCGUUAUCCGGAUUUAUUGGGCGUAAAGAGAGUGCAGGCGGUUUUCUAAGUCUGAUGUGAAAGCCUUCGGCUUAACCGGAGAAGUGCAUCGGAAACUGGAUAACUUGAGUGCAGAAGAGGGUAGUGGAACUCCAUGUGUAGCGGUGGAAUGCGUAGAUAUAUGGAAGAACACCAGUGGCGAAGGCGGCUACCUGGUCUGCAACUGACGCUGAGACUCGAAAGCAUGGGUAGUGAACAGGAUUAGAUACCCUGGUAGGAUAGCG